GACGAACCGUGCGAACGUUGUUCGGAAUCACUGGGCUUAAAGGGCGCGUAGGCGGGCUGCCAAGUCUGGGGUGAAAUCCCACGGCUCAACCGUGGAACUGCCUCGGAUACUGGCGGUCUUGAGGGAGGUAGGGGCAUGCGGAACUGUGGGUGGAGCGGUGAAAUGCGUUGAUAUCCACAGGAACUCCGGUGGCGAAAGCGGCGUGCUGGACCUCUUCUGACGCUGAGGCGCGAAAGCUAGGGGAGCAAACGGG
rnacentral:rRNA from 1 species